rnacentral:tRNA from 1 species
CGCGCGCUGGCGCGCAUGGGGGCGCGUGGGCUCGACACGCGCAAGGUACCGGUGCUGUUCGAGGCGCCGCUCGCGGC